GGUAUUUGUACUUACGGAGUGUGAGCCGCGUAGAGACGUUCCAUGUUGACACGAAGCAGCGGUAGCUUACUGAAACAGAUCAUGUUAGCUUGUUGUUGAACAGGUUACAGUAACACAAGUCGAGCGGUACUCUCGUUGCGACAGAGAGUGGUACCGACGUCGGAUAAAAGGAUACGGAAGUGUUGUGUUUUAUGGAGAGUGUAAGAUGGAAUACGAGUUUGACACAUGAAAUAAACAUUUCAGCAAACUUGUCGUCCUGCUCACUGUGACCAUGAGUUUCUCCCCUGGUCCGUCCGGUCCCAACGGGGGAACCAGUAUCCAGGAGCAGAGGGAGCGCUGGGAGAGGAAACGCAGCCGAACGGCCAGAGAGUUGGUGCAGACAGAACAACGCUACUGCCAACAGCUGGAGCUGGUCACCACUUACUUUGUGGAGAUCUUAAAGGCCAAAGGAACCCUGAAGCAGGACAUGAGAGAAGGCAUCUUCAGUUCAAUUAAAGCCAUUCAUUCAGUAAACCAAUCUCUGCUUGUCCAUUUGGAGAACGGCUACUUUGGCCGAGGCUUCGACCAGAUGUGUCCACAUCUGCACCACUACAACACGUAUGUGGACAACAUCUACAAUGGCCGCAGAGUGCUCGGGAUCCAGCUGAAGAAAAACAAGGCCUUCAGACGCUUUAAGAAACUCCAGGAAGCCCGGCCAGAGUUCAACAACCACAAGCUCGAGGAUUUACUUCAACUUCCUGUUCAGCGGAUCGAUCAGUAUAAACAUUUCCUCCAGGACCUGGCUGCCAACACGAGUCCAGACAACCCGGAGUUUCAGCAGCUUUCAAGGGCGGUGACCGCGGUGGACGAGGUGUCCCAGCGUAUCCAGAACAAUCGCCGGUGCCAUGAGAACCACCUGCAGCUAUGCCGGGUGCAGAAACUGCUGAAAGGGCGAAAGACGAAGGUGUCGGCUGCAGGGAGGUGGUACAUCCGUGAGGGCUGGCUGAAGGUGGUUCCUCGUAAAGGGGUGGACGCUACGCCCAAAAUGUUCUUCCUGUUCUCCGACAUGCUGCUGCAGGCCAAGCGCUGCAGUCCGCUGCAAUUCACCAACAGAGACAAGUUUGCCGGCCAGCGCGCCUUCCCCCUGCAGGACUGCGCUGUGGAGAAGGUGUUUGGCCACACCCGGAGCCAGGGAGGCCUCCUCAGCGUAACCUUCCCCAAAGCCAAACUCCUGCUGAUGUCCUGCAACCAGGAGGAUCUCAAUGACUGGUACCAAAGCCUGAGCUCAGCUAUCGGGAAGCUGCAGCCUCAGCAGACUGUCGUCCAUCAGAGAGACGAGUUGUGCCGGAGACCUCUCCGAUCAGUCGCCGACGACCACAACACGCCGAGCGGCAGCAGGAAGAGAAACGUGGUGAGCAGUGAGACCAAUGAACAUGCUCAGAAGCCUCCAGUUGAGUGGAUGGGCAGCGCCCCCAAGAGGAUGAAGCAGUGUGACGCUCCAGAGCACAGUGCGGAGGAGUCCACUUCCAGCUGUGUGAUCCUCUGAAGGACUUCCUCUGAGAUGAUCCUGCACCGUCUGUCUGAGAGUUUAACUUUGUGCAUCUGGAGAUUAUUAAUAACAGCAGCUUCUGCUCAUCCUGUCCAUGAAACUCUCCAUCUGCUGUUUUACACACCAAAUAUAUGUUGAUGCUGCUUGUCUCUAUUUACAAUGUUGUAACACCAACAGCUGCAGUGCAGCGGUGUUUUGACGAGUUCACCGUGGUGGUCCCUGAAUGCACCACUCUGUGCAUCAGUCUUGGUUUUACACUGCAUUUACAGGCAAACUUCAGAAAGGAAAAGAAGCUUUGGAUAUGUUCUAAAAUAAACUAUACAUACAUACAUGAUGGGAAAAGACCCAAUAUUCAGCCGGUUACAGGUGGACCCCAGGGCUAGUUUUAGAUUAUCAAUAUAAAUAUGUAUUUGUUGCCAAAUACCCUUUUUUUUAAUGUUGUUUUCACUUGUAUUUCAUGUCUGUUGUCAUAGACGGCUGUUUGACACCUUUGGGCCCUAAGUGUCAGUGGGAAAAACACUUAUGAAAUAAAUAGUGUUAUUUUUAAAUAUCAAUAGCUAUAAUAGACUAUUAUAUUGAUUAUUGUCUUAUAAUGUCUUAUCUUUUUUAUUUAAUGGUGGUCAAUAUUCAAUAUAAUAUUGUCAAUAUAAUAACCAUAAUUAUAACUGCGAAUAUAUUCUUCCAACUUGAUAUGGAUGGAUGGUCGGUCAUCUUGAGAAACUAGCAGACUGCAUUAAAACCAUAAUCCACAUGAGCAGCCCAGUUUAGGGACGCCGUCUGGAGCCGACAGCGAGAGCCCUUCAGGCCUUCAGUUGUCGUCAGGAUGUGAUGAGAAUGUUACAAAUACAACAAGAAUGUUGACCCACAUGACCUGGACUGGACCAGGUCAUGUGGGUUUAUCUCCACAUGACCUGGUCCAGUCUAGGUCAUGUGGGUUUAUCUCCACAUGACCUGGACUGGACUGGACCAGGUCCCACCGAUGAGCCCGGUUCGCUUUACUGCCUCACACGAACAUGAUCCUCUGUUCGAAUGUGCAACUCUUGGAAUGUCUGAUUUUAUUGUUUUAUUUGCCAGAUAUACAGAUUCUCAUAACUGUUGCAUGUGUGAGACACUGUGAUGAUUUAUGGUUGUUAUUAUCAUGAUGAAUGGAAUGAGUGCAUUUAAUCAUCUGCACUGCAUUCUGGAGAUGAUUUCUGUGACUUAUCUGCAUCCAGGCAAGAAACCCUGGUAACCAGAUGUAAAGUUCUAUAUGUUUUUUAUCACAUUAUUUAUCCUUCAUUAUAUCUUUUAUUAACCCACCAUCAAAUAUGUGCUUCUCUUCUGCAUUUUAUUAACACUAUUUAGCAUUUUGCUCAUCUUGGUGUGUAUUUUACAGAUCAUUUAGCUCAUUAAAGCUUUUACGCGGUUUACACAUCAUGAAUGGAGAUGGAUGUCAUUUAAAUGUCCCAAUAAAACUCUAAAGAAGUCA